UACAAGUUGUCCGAUGACUUCUACUCUUAAGCUUACUCCAGAACGCUGUCAGAACAGUGAUGGAAGUAGUUUUGACAUUUCUUUCCUAGACCUUCUUACAGACUUGUUGACAUGUGCGUUCUGGCUUCUGGGACUGCUAAAUGUAUGAUUUGAUUGCAUGAGUUUAAUUUCAGAUGUGUAGUUGUUGACGUAUCUCAGCUCAGGUAUUUACUUUCUUACACAAGGAGGGAAGAAGGAAGUGGAAGAGGCAGAGAGACGAAUCGGGUCGCAUUACUGAGGUCUCACCACGAAUCUGCAAAAUGCAGGACCAGAGUUUGGUUUCCCUUCUUUCAUGCGGUGCCUUGGUUGUUCAUCAGAUGCUUCUGCCUUUCCAUCAUUGAGUCUGGAAGAUGGAUAAAAUGGAAAUUGGUUGUGACUUCCUCUCUGUUCACCUGAUGAAUGCAGUGAAGAAUGAUGCCGUUUCAAAAGAUGUGAAUUUUGACCUUGCUGGAUAUCUAGGGAAACCUGGCUAGAUGAAAUAAUUUGAAACAACUGCCGGACCAGGUACAGUUAGUUGCUAUUAGCAAGAAACUAGAGGAAAGCAAGACCUUGAGUCCAUUUGAAGCCCUUCUGUAAAAGCAGGCUGGUGUUAGUAGAAUCCACUGCCAGUGAAGACAGUGCAGAUGAAGAUGAUACGUGCUGUAAGCCUGUGAACUGCUUGUAGCUUCCCUGGGUUCUACGCUACUUCAGAAGUCUCUGCUCUAUCCCAUUUCCUCUGCCUGAUGUCCCUGGUAGUCAUCUGAAGGUCUGCUGGCAGAACUGUUUCUGUGAAAGUCCCCAGAUGGUUUCAGCAAACUGAUUUGUAACCUGAGUUUCCAAAGUCUGCUGUGCUAUGGGGGCAGGUUGGUGCCUAGAAGGAUUUGCUCUCAGGGCUGAAUAAUGACACUUCGGUGACUUUCUUCAAAGGGCAACCUCUCAUUCAAAUAUGGUGAGCAGUUGUCUUCGUCCUCUUUCUCACACACGGUGCUUUGCUGUAGUCUCAGGAACCAAAACAGAGCCUGCUUUAUAGGGCAGGCUGGAAAUAUCCUCCCAGCCCUUGCUGGGUGUCUCCUACAAGUCAGGAAAAAAGCCUGUUGAAUAUUUUCAACACCAAUAUGCA
ensembl:lncRNA